AACCUCAAACGGGAGGCAGCAGUGAGGAAUAUUGGUCAAUGGGCGCGAGCCUGAACCAGCCAAGUCGCGUGAGGGAUGAAGGUUUAUGGAUCGUAAACCUCUUUUAUAAGGGAAUAAGUGCGGGACGUGUCCCGUUUUGUAUGUACCUUAUGAAUAAGGAUCGGCUAACUCCGUGCCAGCAGCCGCGGUAAUACGGAGGAUCCGAGCGUUAUCCGGAUUUAUUGGGUUUAAAGGGUGCGUAGGCGGCCUUUUAAGUCAGCGGUGAAAGUCUGUGGCUCAACCAUAGAAUUGCCGUUGAAACUGGGAGGCUUGAGUAUGUUUGAGGCAGGCGGAAUGCGUGGUGUAGCGGUGAAAUGCUU
rnacentral:rRNA from 1 species